GACAGAGGAUGCAAGCGUUAUCCGGAAUGAUUGGGCGUAAAGCGUCUGUAGGUGGCUUUUUAAGUCCGCCGUUAAAUCCUAGGGCUCAACCCUGGACAGGCGGUGGAAACUACCAAGCUGGAGUACGGUAGGGGUAGAGGGAAUUUCCGGUGGAGCGGUGAAAUGCGUAGAGAUCGGAAAGAACACCAACGGCGAAAGCACUCUGCUGGGCCGACACUGACACUAAGAGACGAAAGCUAGGGGAACGAAUGGG
rnacentral:rRNA from 1 species